GACAGAGGGGCAAGCGUUGCUCGGAAUCACUGGGCGUAAAGGGCGCGUAGGCGGGAUGGCAAGUCGGUCGUGAAAUCCUUCGGCUCAACCGAAGAACGUCGGCCGAUACUGCCGUUCUUGAGGGAUGCAGAGGAGAUUGGAAUUCCCGGUGUAGCGGUGAAAUGUGUAGAGAUCGGGAGGAACACCGGGUGGCGAAGGCGGG
rnacentral:rRNA from 1 species